rnacentral:rRNA from 1 species
AUUGAACGCUGGCGGAAUGCUUUACACAUGCAAGUCGAACGGCAGCACGGACUUCGGUCUGGUGGCGAGUGGCGAACGGGUGAGUAAUACAUCGGAACGUGCCUAGUAGUGGGGGAUAACUACUCGAAAGAGUGGCUAAUACCGCAUGAGAUCUACGGAUGAAAGCAGGGGAUCGCAAGACCUUGUGCUACUAGAGCGGCCGAUGGCAGAUUAGGUAGUUGGUGGGAUAAAAGCUUACCAAGCCGACGAUCUGUAGCUGGUCUGAGAGGACGAUCAGCCACACUGGGACUGAGACACGGCCCAGACUCCUACGGGAGGCAGCAGUGGGGAAUUUUGGACAAUGGGCGAAAGCCUGAUCCAGCAAUGCCGCGUGCAGGAUGAAGGCCUUCGGGUUGUAAACUGCUUUUGUACGGAACGAAAAGCCCCGGGUUAAUACCCUGGGGUCAUGACGGUACCGUAAGAAUAAGCACCGGCUAACUACGUGCCAGCCGCCGCGGUAA